rnacentral:rRNA from 1 species
GUGCCAGCCGCCGCGGUAAUACCGGCAGCCCGAGUGAUGGCCGAUCUUAUUGGGCCUAAAGCGUCCGUAGCUGGCCGCGCAAGUCCAUCGGAAAAUCCACCCGCCCAACGGGUGGGCGUCCGGUGGAAACUGCACAGCUUGGGACCGGAAGGCCCGACGGGUACGUCCAGGGUAGGAGUGAAAUCCUGUAAUCCUGGACGGACCGCCGAUGGCGAAAGCACUUCGAGAAAACGGAUCCGACAGUGAGGGACGAAAGCCAGGGUCUCCAACCGGAUUAGAUACCCUGGUAGUCC